AUUUUGCGGUGUAGCGGUUGUGUUAGUAAGAUCAUUAUGAGGGACGUAGUUGGAGUGAUCUGUGGGUGUUGUGGUUUGAGUUCGUUAUUAUAUUUGGUUUUAUUAUGUUUCUAGAGAUGGUGGUUUUAGGGUUUUACGUAGAAGAAAUUUAUGUUUGUACUUUUUGUAUCAUGGUUCAUAGAGAGUAUGAUUGGUUAAUUUUUCCUGAAAGGCUUUGAUCUAUCUUGAUUAUUUAUAGGGAUGGAAUAGUUUUGUACAUCUAAGUGUGGUGUGGUGUUGCAGUACCACGGGUAAGGUCUUGAUAGAUGGUGAAAUGCUUGUCGUAAGGUCUGAUAGCUGGUUAGGCAGGAAAUGCACAUAAGUGCAGCGUGGGGACUAUAGUUUCAGGAGCUUGUAUUGAACUGUGGCUUUGACCUUAUUGUGAGGCCCCAGGGGAAAGCUCUGAGGGUGUGGCGAAGAACGGUCGUAUAGUAAGUAGAGUUGGAAUUGCUCGUCUUAUGUUGAAUUUUUGUCUAAAGUGGUUUAGGUAAGUGUUUGAGUUGUUACUGUCUUAAUAUAAUGAGCUUUAGUUUAUGCGAUUAGUAUGAUAUUAGUAGGUUUGUGCUAAUGAUUUUCGUGUUUGUGAUGCGAGGUUAUGGUGUUUCGGUAGUGUUAUAGUUUUUCUUAUUGGGGGGAUGUUUGGUUGUUGCAGAAUGUUUGUUGUAGGAAAGCGGAUGGGCUCGGCGAAGUAUGGAUUUAUGUAGUUGGGCUUUGGCGAGGUGUUGAGAUUAAAGUCAAAAGUGGGAUUAAGGAAUUCGGCAAUUUUUCCUCUCGCCUGUUUAUUAAAAACAUGGCUCUCAGGUUUUGUAGUAGUGGGGGUCGUACCUGCCCGGUGAGUAAUUUAAACGGUUGCUGUGAAUAAUAGUACUAAGGUAGCGCAAUUGAUUGUCCUUUAAUUGGGGAAGGGAAUGAAUGGUUUGACGUGGAGGAGACUGUCUCGGUCUCAGGUAUUGAAUUUUACUUUCAGGUGAAAAGGCUUGGAUGAUUAUAGUAGACGAGAAGACCCCGUCGAGCUUGGUGAGGGCUGGCAGUAUCGAUGUUUAGUUUGAUGUUUUGUUGGGAAGACAGGAGGCAAGAGUAACGCAUCUGUGGAAAUAAUGCAGAUCCUGUAUUACGGAUAAGAAGAAAAAGUUACCGCGGGGAUAACAGCGUAAUGUUUUCGGAGAGAUCAUAUCGAUGGAAGAAUGUUGCGACCUCGAUGUUGAAUUAGGGUAUCAUCCUGGCGCAGCGGUUGGGAUUGUAGGUCUGUUCGCCCUUUAAAACCCUACAUGAUUUGAGUUUAGACCGGCGUGAGCUAGGUCGGUUUCUAUCUUUAUUUGAGGCUUUCUUUGUACGAAAGGAUCGGAGAGCUGGG
rnacentral:rRNA from 1 species